GAUCUGACGAGCUUGCUCUGAUUUGAUUUUAUCUGACAAAGAGUGGCGAACGGGUGAGUAACACGUGGGUAACCUACCUCUUAGCAGGGGAUAACAUUUGGAAACAAGUGCUAAUACCGUAUAAUACCAACAACCGCAUGGUUGUUGGUUGAAAGAUGGUUCUGCUAUCACUAAGAGAUGGACCCGCGGUGCAUUAGCUAGUUGGUAAGGUAACGGCUUACCAAGGCAAUGAUGCAUAGCCGAGUUGAGAGACUGAUCGGCCACAAUGGGACUGAGACACGGCCCAUACUCCUACGGGAGGCAGCAGUAGGGAAUCUUCCACAAUGGGCGCAAGCCUGAUGGAGCAACGCCGCGUGUGUGAUGAAGGGUUUCGGCUCGUAAAACACUGUUAUAAGAGAAGAACGGCACUGAGAGUAACUGUUCAGUGUGUGACGGUAUCUUACCAGAAAGGAACGGCUAAAUACGUGCCAGCAGCCGCGGUAAUACGUAUGUUCCAAGCGUUAUCCGGAUUUAUUGGGCGUAAAGCGAGCGCAGACGGUUA
rnacentral:rRNA from 1 species